AGAGUUUGAUCAUGGCUCAGAUUGAACGCUGGCGGAAUGCUUUACACAUGCAAGUCGAACGGCAGCACGGGAGCUUGCUCCUGGUGGCGAGUGGCGAACGGGUGAGUAAUAUAUCGGAACGUAUCCAAUAAUGGGGGAUAACUAAUCGAAAGGUUGGCUAAUACCGCAUACGCCCUACGGGGGAAAGCAGGGGAUCUUCGGACCUUGCGUUAAUGGAGCGGCCGAUAUCUGAUUAGCUAGUUGGUGGGGUAAAGGCUCACCAAGGCGACGAUCAGUAGCUGGUCUGAGAGGACGACCAGCCACACUGGAACUGAGACACGGUCCAGACUCCUACGGGAGGCAGCAGUGGGGAAUUUUGGACAAUGGGCGAAAGCCUGAUCCAGCGACGCCGCGUGGGUGAAGAAGGCCUUCGGGUUGUAAAGCCCUUUAAGCCGGGACGAAAAAGCUACACCUAACACGUGUGGCCUUGACGGUACCGAAGAAUAGAC
rnacentral:rRNA from 1 species